rnacentral:rRNA from 1 species
GAGUGAUCCACCCGAUCCCAUCCCGAACUCGGCCGUGAAACCCCCCAGCGCCUAUGAUACUGCGGCUUAAGUCGUGGGAAAGUCGGUCGCCGCCA